UACGUAGGUGGCAAGCGUUGUCCGGAAUUAUUGGGCGUAAAGCGCGCGCAGGCGGUCCUUUAAGUCUGAUGUGAAAGCCCACGGCUCAACCGUGGAGGGUCAUUGGAAACUGGGGGACUUGAGUACAGAAGAGAAGAGUGGAAUUCCACGUGUAGCGGUGAAAUGCGUAGAGAUGUGGAGGAACACCAGUGGCGAAGGCGACUCUUUGGCCCGGUACUGACGCUGAGGUGCGAAAGCGUGGGGAGCAAACAGG
rnacentral:rRNA from 1 species